UACGUAGGGGCCUAGCGUUGUCCGGAUUUAUUGGGCGUAAAGAGCUCGUAGGCGGUUCGGCAAGUCGGAUGUGAAAUCUCCACGCUUAACGUGGAGGGGCCAUUCGAAACUGCCGUGACUCGAGUCCGGUAGGGGAGUGUGGAAUUCCCGGUAUAGCGGUGAAAUGCGCAGAUAUCGGGAGGAACACCAGUAGCGAAGGCGGCACUCUGGGCCGGUACUGACGCUGAGGAGCGAAAGCGUGGGGAGCGAACAGG
rnacentral:rRNA from 1 species